rnacentral:lncRNA from 1 species
CUCAUAUAUAAACAAGGGCAAGAAGGAAGUGGGACCCUUCUCUCUUCCUCCAGAGUCACCAUGUGAUCGCGAGAUGAGGACACCAAUGGAAGGCAUCCUAAAUAAGAUAAGUCUUAUAAAAUAUAUAGAUUUAUGAUAAUUAAGACUGAGCUAACAGAUGGGAGAUCCUAGUCAUUGGCCAAGCAGCAUUUGUACCUAAUAUAAGUCUCUGUGUAUUAUUUUGUUCAUCCACGUGGCGGGCAUAACUCAAGUGGGUGGCAGAAAGAUUUAUCAUAACACUGACAUUCUAAAAACUUCUGUCACUUAAUCAGAUAAAGGAGCCAGUGUUUGAAUUCCAAUACAUUUGACUUGAGAGCCCCAAGCCCUAAAGCACUACACUCUACUUUUCUUUUUCUUGACAUGUUGAUAAUAGAGAGCAAUGACAUUGUAUGAUAAGAGUGGAUCUUUACCUCUGUUGUGUUCUUCCCAAGUCAGCAGCCUCUGUAUUACCAUGAGAAAUGCAUCAGACAAAAACCACUGAAGGAAUGCUGUAGUCUUCCAAAUUGUCACAGCCAUGAAAAAUAAGAACUCGGGCGACAUCUGCAGAACUGACACAAACAGGCACUCCAAAACUCCGUUUCACCACAAAAACAAUGCAUAAUAAGCAAAGCAUCCAUUAUCAACUUUUCCUGAACUGUGGAUACCCAAAGCUCACAGAAAAGGGAGUUGUGCUUAGCAAUAAUAACCAUCUGCACUGUGACCAUGGAUGUUUCUAGCAUUUUCACCUACCCUGGACAUAGCCCAUUAUUCUCUACUUCAGCAGCAAACACAAACAGAGCAGUCCAAAAUCCUGGAGCAAGUCCUCAAUGCUGAAGGGAUCAAAAAUACAUGUUAUUCUCAAAGACUUGUGUUGUUAUUGUUGUUGUUUAUUUGCCUUGUAAUUCCCGGAAAAAUGAUGCAGAGUGUUUAUUUAAAUAGUCUAACUCAGAUUCUGAGAUGACUGAGGGGCAAUUAUUGAAAUAAUUUAAAGUAACUAUAUCAGUCACUACCACCUGGAGCCAGGCUUAACAGUUAAGGCAAACAAUAAGCUAGCCUGCAAUCUUUAGAGGAAAGGCUGGGGAUGAAAUGCUGUGAUGAAUAGUUUCUGAAAAGUUUACUCAUACGCUUAGAAAUCUAGAAGGCUUUGUGCAUGCGCCAGACUAGGUGCACACCUGCAGAAGAGCUCACAAGUGCUCUUACAUAUGCCUGAUGAUGUACACUUUCAUAUAAUUUAAAGAAAGCUGUGGGAAGUGACAUUGCAGUUGGUAGAUCCAUAUAUCUGAAACUAUUCAAGUUUCUAAUCUUAGCCAUGCCUAGUUAAAAUGUAGCUAGUUAAAAUUCUCAGUGAACACUGGCCCAAUCUUCUAUCUCUGCCUUUCACUGUUCCUUGUCUAUUUAAUUGGCAUGUUGAGAUGGGUGACCGAGCCUAGCCUGGUAGAGCUGCCAGAGCAGGGGCUUUUUGCCUGAAGCCAAGUCAGGAGCCAACAUCAGACACUCAUAGCAGCAGUUCAGCUCCAAACAAAAUAGGAGAAUGAAUGGCCCCAUGCAGCUGCUAGGAUUGCUUUUAUUCCAGGGCCUCUUUCUUUCCUUUCUACACCAGUCAAUAUUGGCCAUUUUCUACUCCUCAGAGUUGCAGACAAACGAGUGUUCAGACUUGAUGUGCCCACAAGUUGGACCCAUAGUGAGUUCCUCACAACUGGUGCUUUGGGAGCCUUAUUCUUGCUUUACCUUAUCAGAAGUUGUUUUUAACUAUUUGAGAAGCAAGCAUUUGUCUGACAUGCAUUGUCUUUGAGGAGCCCUUUUGAGCCCAUCGGAAGUUAUGUUGAACUAUUUGGACAUCUACUGCUAAAACAGGAAAUAUGGGUUCUGUCAUUUUAUGUUGCUAACUAGCUGAAAAAGAGAAAUUAUAAUAGAGAAACAAGCAUGUUUAAUAGGUCUAUGUUUACAUUUGUGUAACUGUAAGGAAAAGUAAGUUAGUAGUACCUUGGUGCCCCCAAGGAAAAAUGUCUAGCUGACUAGUGUUUUAUAAUUUUAUGGUGACUUAUCUAUGAAUAUGAUCCGAAUUAAUGUGACUGUUUUAUAUGUCUGUUUGUAAUUCAAAACUUAAUCUUCCUCCAGACUUCCUGAAAAUAACUCAGUAGCAAACCUGUAGCCACUUUAAUUUUUGCAUUUUUAACUAUCUGGUGAUAAGAUUACAACUCUUGGCAUGCCUAAUUUAAAAUAUGUAUGUGCGAAUACAGUUUUAUGAGUACAAACAUUUUUAGGAUUCUUUUAGUCCCUGCAAUUGUAGUAUUAAUGUGUAGGUAGAGUUUAUUGCCUGACUAUCUGUUGUUUUUUUUUUUCCUUUUCUUUCCUCUUCUGCUGCAGCCUCUUUGGAAAAACAAAUGACUAUUCAGGUUUUAAUCUUAGCCAUGCCUAGUUAAAAUAACAUAUUUAGGAGAUAACUGUAGAACUUCUGGCUAAAGAAGAAAAUGGCUCCUUUUAAAACCAAGUUGCUACUGCCCAAUUGAAGUUUGCAAAAUUGACAAUGAAGUUUAGCCAUGCACAUAGGGGAUCUUAAUCUGUUUCAUUUCCAUCAUAAAUUUAACUUGAAACUACUUCUUUUUUCACAAUACAUUUAGGAUAACAAUAAAUGUGUGUGUAUAAAUUGUUAGUAUUAAAAAGAACAGAUCACAGUUGUAUUCUUAUCAAGUCUAUUAUGAAUAAGAUUACUAAUAAUUAAAACUAAUUAACAUGUGAAAUUCUAUCAGCAGAAAAUAUGAAACAAUUUAAGCUGUUUGGAUGAGAAAAAUCUAUUUUUAAAGGGCAUAAAGUACUUUAAAACAAAAUAACUUUGUCUAAGUUCAAAUGUCUGUGAAAGGUGUGUCAAAAUGCAAAUUUAGCUAAAGGAUUUUCUAAACUCAAAAUAUAGCACAACCAAUUGAAGUUAGAAUGUAAUAUUCUGAGUCCAAAGCAAUAAGGAUUCCUUAAAACUAUUGUUCUGAGGGACCAGCAAGCCUCCGCCCCUAACUGCAAGUUGAUAGCUUCUAGGGGAGGAUGGGUUAGUUGUCUUGAAGGGUAUGAACCCUAGGAGGUCCACCAUGCUCCAGUGGAUGGCUGCACACCCAGGAGUAUAUGGGAAGCACAAAUCGUAUUUAGUGGGCUAUUUAAAAAAAAUAAGACAUGGGCUAGUGAGAGAACUCAGCAGUUAAGAGCACUUUUUCUUGCAGAGAACCCUGGUUCAAUUCCCAGCACCUACAUAAAGUUCCAGAUGAUCCCCUUUUGACCCCCAAAAGGCACCAGGCAUGCAAGUGGUACAUAGACAUAGAUUCGAGCAAAACAUUCAUACACACAAAAUAAAAUAAAUGUAUCUAAAAAAGUUUAAAACACAAGACAUAAAGUUGGGGGAUGGAGUGAUGAAAUACAUUUGAGAGGAGCUGGAGGGGGAGUAGGGGUUAAGUAUGAUCAAAAGACAUUGUAUACAUAGGAAAGUCUCAAAGAACUAAUAUAAAUACAGUAUUUGUAAAAGAAAUGAAAAUAUUGUUCUGUAAUAAACAUUUGCAAAACCAUAAGCAGAAGGGGCAAAGAUGUGUUUUAUCAAGAUAAUCAUUUCAUCUUCUGCUGAUUUUGGCAGGCUCUUGACUACUACUCAGGAAACCGAAUUCUAACAAAUUCAAGGUCCAUUUAAGUUUCUGUUUGCAUUAAUGUCUUUUAGAUGAGCACUUUAUAAACAACUAUUAUUUCAAGAGGACUUUAUUACUUUUAAUCCCCUGCAUAUCCAUGACACGUGUACAGAUACAUGUCUGAAUUCUAACUAAAUAUUAUACAAAAGUUUGAAGACUUAAAGCACCUGAGCUUAAUAUAUACAAGUGCUCUGUUUUGUUCAAUAUGCCUUGCAUCUGGACUUUAAACUCAAAAAGGAGCAACAAAAUGGUUUGAAUAUUUCCGAUACUUAUAAGCAGAACUAUUCAGAUGAAGAAAUGCAAUUUUGAAAGUCUUUCGAUUUAAGACCUAGCUCAGUGGGUGAAGAUGCUUGCUGUCAAAUCUGAUGACCUGAGUUCAAUCCCAGGGACACACAUGGUGCAGCGAGAGAACAAAAUUUUCUUUCGAGUGUAGAAGCUGAAUUAGUAUGUGUAACUGGGAUGCUAAUUGUAAAUGUUAAAUGUGUUUAUGUUCAUUGGGUAUAUAAAAUUCAAAGCUUGAGACAACACUUUACCAAGACACUGCUCUCCAAUGUAAAACUGCUAAUCAUGUUGACCUUUUCAAGGACUUGUAUUGAUGAGUUCCUGUGUGUAUUGUGACUUAUCUUUAAGCAAAGAUAAAUAGACAUGCCCAGACAUUAUAUACUCCAAGAAAUGCUAUUCUGACCAUUAAACAGUAUUAGACAUUGGUCACCUAGGGGUAUGAUCUGUUAACAAUUAUAACCUUGUAGCACAAAUAAAUAAAAACCCAGAGGCAGAUGUUAGGAUUAAAGCUGAAGAUCAGAGAAGCAAAAUGGCCAACCAAUUGAGAGCUCUCACCUCUACCAAUGCUCAGACUGAAGGGGUAAUCCACAAACCUCAGACUGCACCUCCAGACUGCUCUGCUCCUCACCAAAUCUCAGACUGCUCCUGAGACUGCACUGAGCUCUUUAUGUUCUCUCUAGUGCUGGGAUCAAAGGCCUGAGUGUUAUGAUUAAUCUUUCCGCCAUAAGCCACUGAGCCCCACCGCCACGUGUGCACUCUAUGCCAGCCGCCCGCCUGAGUUAGGGCCCCAAUUAAUGCACAGAGAGACUUGUAUUAGGUACAAUGCUGCUUGGCUAAUGACUAGGAUUCUCAUCUGUUAGCUCAGUCUCAAUUAUCAUAAAUCUAUAUAUUUUAUAAGACUUACCUUAUCGGAUACCUUAUUGGUGUCCCUCCUUGCCAGUGGAUCACAUUGCGCCUCUGGAGGAAGAGCGGAGGGGGAAAAGGGACACUUCCUGUUUCUCCUUUCUUAAAUAUGAGUCUCCUUGCUAUGUCACUUCCUUCCUGGAACACCACUUCUCUACUACAUUUCCCAGAAUCCUCUUUGACUCCUAGUCCUGCCUAACUCCAUUGACUUUUCUUUUCUUUUUCUUUUUUUUUUCUUUUUGGUUUUUUGAGACAGGGAUUCUCUGUGUAGCCUUGACUGUCCUGAAACUCACUCCGUAGACCACCUGCUUCUGCCUCCAGAGUACUGGGAUUAGAGGCGUGUGCCACCAGCACCUUUUGCUGUUGAAGGCCAGAAGAUAAAUUGUUGUCCUAUACCUUCAAGUUCCCUUGAAUUCAAGAACAGCAAGGCCUGCAGGCAGGACGAACCAUCCCUACGAUGAGAAUAAUUAUCAGUGAUGAAAAUGCUACACCCUGGAACAGAUCAUAUUGUAAAAACCAAAAAUGCACAGCUGAUCGUGAAGAACAUGAAGAUACAGGCAUUUCAAAUACAGAAAUUCUCAGUUUCCUGCACAUCUUUUCUUAGGAAACUUCUUGAGAGGAAACCAUGAGCUACAGGAAACAGAUGAGUAGAAGGGAUUCAGGAUGGUAAUUGUGCAUGGGGCCUAUAGCAGUUCUACUCAAAGGGUGGAAAUAAAAGUAAUUUGUCAUUUCAGAAAAGUAUCACAAAUAGACUGUAUGACCUUUUCUUAGUGAACAACAGAAGUAAGAUACAGAAAUGCUUAAAAAUUUAAAAAUACAAAAAUAUAAAAAUAUAAAAAUUAAAAAGAAAAUGCUAUUCGAAAAGACUUAAGUAAUCUGUAUUAAAAAUAAACUAUAAUAUAAAUAGGAAAACAUGAUUACAUACUAGGAUCAGAUCACUCCCAAAGAUGGUCACCUGUUAAUUUGUACAUGUAAUUAUAUUGAAAUUGUUAUUUUCCAUGCACUGUUCUAGACAUUUUAUAAGCAUUACCACAAACAUUGAAUUCUUAUAAUUACCUUGUAUAUCCAUACAAUAAUUAUCUCUAUUUAUAGAUAUAGAAAGUGAGGAUCAAGAAGCAAAGCUGUUUUCCCAAAGUUGUGCAAGUAGCUUGUAGAGCCAGACUGUAUCUAUGACUCCAGAGUUCUAGCCACUGUGCCCAAAAGCUAUAGUGUUUUCCACUUACCUGAUUCCUGCAUGCUCUUCAUUCAUUCUCAGGUUUUACUGUGGUGUUUCUGACAAUAAUAUUCUUGGAAUUCUUUGAAGCUUUGAUCUUCUCUGGGUGCGUCUAUGGCUACCAUUAACACAACCAAUGGCUUCACUGCUCUCACAGCUGUUAUCCCAGCAAGAUAGGAAAAAGACUCCCACUUUCUGCAUUAGUUGCAAGAGAAUUUUCAAAUGUCCUGACUCUUUCAGAUCUCUAGAUACUUAACAGAGGGAGAUGUUUUGAGAAUAGGCCAUCAAAGGAUUUCAUCACUGUGAAAGUGUCAGAGAAUGGUGUUUAGUAUGUGACGCCAGAAGCCUCCAACACCCUCAGGAUACAUUAUACUUGCAGGAAGGGGAUUAGGACAGCUGAACAAUACAGACCUAAAACCCCAUCCUGACCAUUUGAUUCAAGAACUAAUUCUUGACUGGUAAGAUGGUUCUGCAGGUAAAACACUUGGUGCACAAAGCCUGAUGACCUGAGUUUGAUGCCUGGAACCCACGAUGGGAAGGGAGAACCCGUUUCUAAAAGUUAUACUCUGCACUCCAUACGAACACUAUGGCAUACACACAAAAACAGGACUCCAAAGAACGGCCACCUGAAAAGCAGCCAAAGGCUAAUGCCCACAGGCAAAAGAAAAUUUCUUUACUCCAGAUAGAAGACAUGAAGCAGGCGAGGCAUCUGAGGUACCAAUAAAUCAGCACCCACCAUAAUCUUGACUUGAAGAAGAGCUCCCAAUAAACUUGGAAGAAUAAAGAAAAAGAAGGAAAAGAAUGCAUGAAAGGAGGGAGAGGAAAUGAAGAAUGGAAGAGGAAACGAAAAAGACAGAAGGUUAAAAGAAAGAUAAAUAACCCAUCUCCCUAGGAACCUCCUAUAAACUAUUUGCAUCCAUUCCAAAUUCUUAUGUUCAAAUGUAAUCCUCAACGUGAUGAUAUCCAUAAGUAGGAGUCUUCAGAAGGUGGUCAGUUCAGGCUGGAGAGA